UACGUAGGGUGCGAGCGUUGUCCGGAAUUAUUGGGCGUAAAGGGCUCGUAGGCGGUCUGUUACGUCGGGAGUGAAAACUCGGGGCUCAACCCCGAGCCUGCUUCCGAUACGGGCAGACUAGAGGUAUGCAGGGGAGAAUGGAAUUCCUGGUGUAGCGGUGAAAUGCGCAGAUAUCAGGAGGAACACCGGUGGCGAAGGCGGUUCUCUGGGCAUUAACUGACGCUGAGGAGCGAAAGCAUGGGGAGCGAACAGG
rnacentral:rRNA from 1 species